rnacentral:tRNA from 1 species
GCCGAAGUAGCUCAACGGUAGAGCAUUGCUUUCGUAAAGCAAAGGUUAGGGGUUCGAUUCCCCUCUUUGGCUCCA